rnacentral:rRNA from 1 species
UGGGGAAUUUUGGACAAUGGGCGAAAGCCUGAUCCAGCAAUGCCGCGUGUGUGAAGAAGGCCUUCGGGUUGUAAAGCACUUUUGUCCGGAAAGAAAUCCUUGGCUCUAAUACAGUCGGGGGAUGACGGUAACCGGAAGAAUAAGCACCGGCUAACUACGUGCCAGCAGCCGCGGUAAUACGUAGGGUGCAAGCGUUAAUCGGAAUUACUGGGCGUAAAGCGUGCGCAGGCGGUUUUGCUAAGACCGAUGUGAAAUCCCCGGGCUCAACCUGGGAACUGCAUUGGUGACUGGCAGGCUAGAGUAUGGCAGAGGGGGGUAGAAUUCCACGUNUAGCAGUGAAAUGCGUAGAGAUGUGGAGGAAUAUCGAUGGCGAAGGCAGCCCCCUGGGCCAAUACUGACGCUCAUGCACGAAAGCGUGGGGAGCAAACAGGAUUAGAUACCCUGGUAGUCCACGCCCUAAACGAUGUCAACUAGUUGUUGGGGAUUCAUUUCCUUAGUAACGUAGCUAACGCGUGAAGUUGACCGCCUGGGGAGUACGGUCGCAAGAUUAAAACUCAAA